rnacentral:lncRNA from 1 species
GGGAGGCCGGGAGGGGUCCCUGGGCGGGGAGUUGCUGCGCAUCUGUUGUGUGUGUGCGUCUGUCUGUCUGUUCAGGUCUGUUUUAGGCUGUGUCUGCCUGUCUCUCUGUCUGGGUCUCUUUCAGGCUGUGUCUGUCUGUCUGUCUGGGUCUGUUUCAGGCUGUGUCUGUCUGUCUGUCCGGGUCUGUUUCAGGCUGUGUCUGUCUGUCUGUCCGGGUCUGUUUCAGGCUGUGUCUGUCUGUCUGUUUGUCUGGGUCUGUUUCAGGCUGUGUCUGUCUGUCCGGGUCUGUUUCAGGCUGUAUGUGUGUCUGCUCUUUGCUUCUGCUCCUGGCUCUGUGUGUAUUUCCCGGGUCCUGUGG